CCUACGGGGGGCUGCAGUCGAGAAUCUUCGGCAAUGAGCGCAAGCUUGACCGAGCGAUGCCGCGUGCGGGAUGAAGGCCCUCGGGUUGUAAACCGCUGUCGUAGAGGAGUAAUGGUCAGGGGGUUCUCCCUCUGAUUUGAACAAUUCUAGGAGGAAGGACGGGCUAAGUUCGUGCCAGCAGCCGCGGUAAGACGAACCGUCCAAACGUUAUUCGGAAUCACUGGGCUUGCAGAGUUCGUAGGUUGUCUGGGAAAUCCCUCGGCUCAACCGAGGAACUGCGCUUGAAACUACCAGACUCGAGGGAGAUAGAGGAAAGCGGAACUGAUGGUGGAGCGGUGAAAUGCGUUGAUAUCAUCAGGAACACCGGUGGCGAAGGCGGCUUUCUGGGUCUUACCUGACGCUGAGGAACGAAAGCCAGGGGAGCGAACGGGAUUAGAUACCCGGGUAGUC
rnacentral:rRNA from 1 species